rnacentral:lncRNA from 1 species
GCGGCGGCCCCGGCCGCGCCAGGCACGACGCCAGGGCAGCCGGAGCUGUUCCUCUCAGUGACACGCAGCGCACUCGGGUGUUCGUGAGGGGAGUGAAUUUGGCGGUGCUGGUGGUGGGUGUUCUCUUCCUCCCGGACUGAACCCGCCCCAGGUUGGGUGGGCUGGGCUGAGGCCCCAAACCGCCACCUCCCUGGUGGGACUAAGAGUGUCCCUGUCCUGGGGCUGAAAGGCAGGGGUCACAACUCCCGACCCGGUGGUGGAACGGGCGAAGCGCCCUUACUAAAUGAGACCUUGCUCGACCUUCCUCCCGGUAAAGAGGACAAGGACAUUGCACUCUAGGAUGGGUAGCGAUUUUUCCUUCUGCAAAGGCUGAACAAACUCAUCUUUCUAUUUAGAGGGUGCAGCCUUGCCAAGGCCAGGCUGCUUCCCAGUCCACCUUGGAGCAACUCACCCUCUACCAGAGCCUGCUGAAGCGGUUCUAUUUAUACCACUGAUACAUGGGGAUACGCCUUUCAGAUUUUCUAGAAGGAUUUGGAUCUACUUAUGCAAGCUUUUCUGAGCCCGGAGUCUAUCGGUUUCAAAGACACGUGAAAAGCUAUGAAGAAAACCCAAGGGAAGGAAACCUCGGGAGCUGGGGCCCGAAAACACAGGGCCGGACAUCUGCUCUCCGCCCACGGUUGGGGCUGUUUAUUUUUUUUUUUUUUUUUUUUUUUUCAACGUUUAUUUAUUUUUGGGACAGAGAGAGACAGAGCAUGAACGGGGGAGGGGCAGAGAGAGAGGGAGACACAGAAUUGGAAACAGGCUCCAGGCUCCAAGCCAUCAGCCCAGAGCCUGACGCGGGGCUCGAACUCCCGGACCGCGAGAUCGUGACCUGGCUGAAGUCGGACGCUUAACCGACUGCGCCACCCAGGCGCCCCGGUUGGGGCUGUUUAAAUGGUCUCUUGACGGGUCACCACGGGGCCACCCAAUCCCAUCCUGGUCUUGUUGAGUUCUCAUUGGCCUAGGGAAUAGACCUAACCGGUGAGUGCAAAGGCCACCUCCAUACAUGUACGGUUUUGGGGAACACAGCAGUGCUCUGCUCGCGCCUAGUAAGCGGGUGGCUGCCCGCAGAGCCUUUUGAGAACUAUCGCCAAGUAAAGCUCAGCCACGGAGGGAAUGCUUGACAGAGAGCGUCGGCUUCUAAGUUUUCCCUGGCUCUUGACACUCUGACGGGGCCUUGGGCUGCCGCUCAGCUGUCUUCUCCACAGCCCUGUCCCCUCGGUUCCUCACUCAUCUGUGAGCCACCUUGCUGGGUCUCAGCCUCCCACUGUUAUUUCCUACUGAUUCAAAUACGAAUUCAUAGAAUGCCUUAUGUGCUUUCACGUGGCUCCCUCGGAUGCUUGUAACUAUUCUGAGGGAAAUAAGACCCGUACUAGUCAUGCCAUUCAAUGUUAAAACUCAGAAUAAGGCUCGGUGAGUCAGACCACAGGGCCCCCGGGAUCCCACCGCUGGGGCUUGGGCGACUCCCCCUCCCACCAGGAGCAGUUGGGGGUGGGACCCCUUUCUCCCUUCCUUCAAUCCUCCCCAACACUUGGUUUCGUUCCGGAAAUAUAAAAGAUCCUCAAGGGAUCUUUUCCAACAGGAGCCAAGGACAUCCAGAAAUGAAGUCACGGCUUCCGCCCUGGCCACCUCUGAGGGCCGUCACCUCUCGUUCUGCCCCCACUACCUCCUAAUAUCUGGCAUAAGAACCUGGUGAAAAAUCUGCACUUGGCAUUUCUGGGUAUGCCCCUCACCCCUUCUGAAUGGCUGUGUGGCCUUGGGCAGGUCAUUUCAAGAAAGACUGUAUUCUCAACUGAGGGUACUACCUACUCCUUAAGACCGACUUGGACAGAAGUGCCUGGGACAGAAGUGCUCAAUAAAUAGUACAAUAUCU